UACAGAGGUCCCAAGCGUUGUUCGGAUUCGCUGGGCGUAAAGGGUGCGUAGGCGGUCAUUUAAGUCUGACGUGAAAUCUCCGGGCCUAACCCGGAAACUGCGUUGGAAACUACCUGACUAGAGGAAUGGAGGGGAGACUGGAAUACUUGGUGUAGCAGUGAAAUGCGUAGAUAUCAAGUGGAACACCAGUGGCGAAGGCGAGUCUCUGGACAUUUCCUGACGCUGAGGCACGAAAGCCAGGGGAGCAAACGGG
rnacentral:rRNA from 1 species